AUUGAACGCUGGCGGCAGGCCUAACACAUGCAAGUCGAGCGGAGCGGCGGACGGGUGGGUAAGGCCUAGGAAUCGGCCUGGUAGUGGGGGAGAACGACCGGCAGAGGGCGGUAAUACCUAAUGCUAUCAGAUGAGUCACUGUCGGAUUAGCUAGUUGGUGGGGGAAAGGCCUACCAAGGCGACGAUCCGUAACUGGUCUGAGAGGAUGAUCAGUCACACUGGAACUGAGACACGGUCCAGACUCCUACGGGAGGCAGCAGUGGGGAAUAUUGGACAAUGGGCGAAAGCCUGAUCCAGCCAUGCCGCGUGUGUGAAGAAGGUCUUCGGAUUGUAAAGCACUUUAAGUUGGGAGGCGUUACCAACAGAAUAAGCACCGGCUAACUUCGUGCCAGCAGCCGCGGUAAUUC
rnacentral:rRNA from 1 species